UGUCCUCCAUCGGAGGUCUAUAUUGAGCAGAUUCUUUUUGGUGUUGGGUGGUGGAUCCGGAGCAUGCUCCAUCCACUCCAUGCAUUGACCUGGUAUUGCAGUGCUUCCAGGACCGGUGC
rnacentral:snRNA from 1 species